rfam:Oryza sativa (indica cultivar-group) chromosome 2, whole genome shotgun sequence.
GUCGUUGUAGUAUAGUGGUGAGUAUUCCCGCCUGUCACGCAGGUGUGACCCGGGUUCGAUCCCCGGCAACGGCG